rnacentral:rRNA from 1 species
UUGCAUGGCUGUCGUCAGCUCGUGUCGUGAGAUGUUCGGUUAAGUCCGCUAACGAGCGCAACCCUCGUCGUAUGUUAUAUGUGUCAUACGAGACUGCCGGUAAAAGCCGGAGGAAGGUGAGGAUGAUGUCAAGUCAGCAUGACCUUUAUAUCCAGGGCUACACACACGCUACAAUGGUCUGUACAAUGGGUAGCCAAGCCGCGAGGCGGAGCCAAUCCUGAAAGCAGGCCUCAGUUCAGAUUGCAGUCUGCAACUCGACUGCAUGAAGCCGGAGUUGCUAGUAACCGCAGGUCAGCAAUACUGCGGUGAAUACGUUCCCGGGUCUU